CACGUAGGGUGCGAGCGUUGUCCGGAAUUAUUGGGCGUAAAGAGCUCGUAGGCGGUGUGUCGCGUCGGCCGUGAAAACCUGCGGCUUAACUGUGGGCUUGCGGUCGAUACGGGCAUCACUGGAGUUCGGCAGGGGAGACUGGAAUUCCUGGUGUAGCGGUGAAAUGCGCAGAUAUCAGGAGGAACACCGGUGGCGAAGGCGGGUCUCUGGGCAGUAACUGACGCUGAGGAGCGAAAGCGUGGGGAGCGAACAGG
rnacentral:rRNA from 1 species